ACCUGGCUUCUGCAGCCAUCCUCGCGGAGAGCGCGUCUGUCGUUUACUCGUCGGGCGCGGGAUCCGCGUCAUUUACUGUGAGCAAAAUAGAGUGUUCAAAGCAGGCUUAGGCCGUUGAAUACAUUAGCAUGGAAUAAUAAGAUAGGACCUUGGUCUAUUUUGUUGGUUUGUACUCCAAGGUAAUGAUUAAUAGGGACAGUUGGGGGUAUUCGUAUUCAAUUGUCAGAGGUGAAAUUCUUGGAUUUAUGGAAGACGAACUACUGCGAAAGCAUUUACCAAGGAUGUUUUCAUUAAUCAAGAACGAAAGUUAGGGGAUCGAAGAUGAUUAGAUACCAUCGUAGUCUUAACCAUAAACGAUGCCGACUCGGGAUUGGCCGCCGUUGAAUUAAUGACACGGUCAGCACCGUAGGCGAA
rnacentral:rRNA from 1 species